GGGCGAUUAGCGCAGUUGGUAGCGCAGCACGAUCACACCGUGAAGGUCGGGGGUUCAAGUCCCUCAUCGCCCA
rnacentral:tRNA from 1 species